rnacentral:rRNA from 1 species
AUACGGAGGGGGCUAGCGUUGUUCGGAAUUACUGGGCGUAAAGCGCGCGUAGGCGGCUUUGUAAGUUAGAGGUGAAAGCCCAGAGCUCAACUUUGGAAUAGCCUUUAAAACUGCAUCGCUUGAACACGGGAGAGGUGAGUGGAAUUCCGAGUGUAGAGGUGAAAUUCGUAGAUAUUCGGAAGAACACCAGUGGCGAAGGCGGCUCACUGGACCGUUGUUGACGCUGAGGUGCGAAAGCGUGGGGAGC